rnacentral:misc_RNA from 1 species
AUUGACCAGAGGCCUGUAAUUUGGAAAGAAUGAGUGUGGUAAAUCAAUUCAUCCUAUCAAAUAAUAAUUAAGAAUGACCAACAAGACGCCAAGCAGGAAAUCAUAAUUCAAGAAAUAUAGGUACUAGGGAUAUCAUUUCAACUAUAUUCAGAAAAUUAUACAUAAUUCCUCAUAUAGAGAACAAAUGUUGAAUGUCAAUACUGCGAUCUCUUAAACAUGACAAAAUGUAAAACUUUAUUUUCCAAUGGGGAAAUAUGAACUAGAUUCAUAAAGCUCUUGGGCACACAUCAAAUCCAAUUAUAAUUACUUUCAUUUGAGUCAACAUGAAUCUAAUUUCAAGAAAGUUGUAACUGUUACAGAUUCAACCUUUUAG